AUUGAACGCUGGCGGCAGGCCUAACACAUGCAAGUCGAGCGAGCGGCGGACGGGUGAGUAAUGUAUGGGGACUGCCCGAUAGAGGGGGAUAACUACUGGAAACGGUGGCUAAUACCGCAUACUAUCGGAUAACCCAUAUGGGAUUAGCUCGUGGGUGGGGUAAAGGCGCACCUAGGCGACGAUCCCUAGCUGGUCUGAGAGGUUGACCGUCCACACUGGGACUGAGACACGGCCCAGACUCCUAGGGAGGCAGCAUGGGGGAAUAUUGCACAAGGGGCGCAAUCCUGACGCAGACAGGCCGCGUGUAUGAAGAAGGCCUUAGAGUUGUAAAGUACUUUGAUCGGGGAGGCGUUACCCACAGAAAAAGCACCGGCUAACUCCGUGCCAGCAGCCGCGGUAAUAC
rnacentral:rRNA from 1 species